AAAUGUGGUUCAAUGGUAGAAUGCUUGCCUAGCAUGUAAGAAAGAGCCUGGGUUUGACUCACAGCACUU
rnacentral:tRNA from 1 species